rnacentral:ncRNA from 1 species
AAUUGUUUAAUUAUGGCAAUAGAAAGGAUUAUAGGGUAAACUGCAUAGAGUUAUUAUGUAUAGGGUAAUGUAUAGGCCAAGGUAGCAGGUUUGUUCUAGCAGUGAGUACUCUCAACUCCACGAAAGUGGGAUAGGGUACCCAUCAAAAGGGGGAUAAGGCACAGUGCCAGCAUCCGCGGUUAAUCUGUUUCCUCUCCUUUCUUUAUAGCAGAUUUUUUUAAGUGAAGUAAGAUUCUAGGUGUGAAAACCACAGAGUUUUGAUUGUCAUUGCUUUAAAAAAGAUAUAAUUCCGAUUAACGACGCAGAUUAGAGACCUGCUUAGUAGGUAAAAUAGAAGAGUUUUAGUUAAACUAAAAUUAUUUGGCAGCCAACUACUCCUGACAGGGGAUGGUGUCCCAAAAAAGAUGCUCCGCUUACUAAUUCAUCCCAACCAUUUAGUUGGUGUACAUCCGAUUGAAGAUCAGCAGUCAAAGCUUGUUGGUGAAUUCCUCAUGAUUAAGUUAGGUCAAUGUGCUACUAGUGUUGGGGUAAAGGGUGCCAUACUAUUAAAAGAGGUGUAAGUUAAUAGAUUCGGGACUUGUUAGUAAAACACAAUAAACUAUGUGUGUUUGAAGAAGGUGGAGUUGGGGUACACACCGCCCGUCAAUCUCGGUUUUUCUGAGGUAAGUCGUAACAGGGUAGCCCCAGGGGAACCUAGGGCUAGUAGCUCAAUAAGCUUG